rnacentral:rRNA from 1 species
UAAUACGUAGGGUCCGAGCGUUAAUCGGAAUUACUGGGCGUAAAGCGUGCGCAGGCGGUUUUGUAAGCCAGAUGUGAAAUCCCCGGGCUUAACCUGGGAACUGCAUUUGGGACUGCAAGGCUUGAGUACGGCAGAGGGGGGUAGAAUUCCUGGUGUAGCAGUGAAAUGCGUAGAUAUCAGGAGGAAUACCGAUGGCGAAGGCAGCCCCCUGGGUCGAUACUGACGCUCAUGCACGAAAGCGUGGGGAGCAAACAGG